GCAACGUCUUUUUUCUCGCUUCCUGGUGAAUAGAACUAAGAAACCUCGAUUCGUCGAUAUUCCUUUCAACUGCGUAUCCGCUAAAAUGCCCCGGGGAACUCAGAACAGCUGACGAAGAUUCCGUUUCGUUACACACAGUAUGGCUUUCAUGGAAAGCAUUUCGGUCUUGGUGGCACACAAAAGAGGCGAACGACUUCGAUCGGACGCAAAGCACCACACGUUUCAUCGAACUAUUACUUACCUGGGGCACGGUGCGGCGCAAUGGAGGUCUCCAGCAUUGCUUCGGCGAGGUCUUCUCUCAAUUGGUUCUCGCCGUUACCAACACCCGUAUUUUCGCUAUCUAAGGAAUCACCGUACCAACGACCUAGAUGCAGCACGUGGCAUAUUGACAGGAUUUGAUCUCGCGGGACGAGACACACCGGUUACCCCGAUUUCAACAGCCUCAGCUUCAACGAGAUUCACAGGAGCUCUACCGUUAAUAAACGUACAGUAACAACGCUCAGCAAAGGGCUAGAUGUUGACAAAGGAGGCAGAAUCUCUAAAGAAUUCGGGCAUCUUAAGAGAGGCCAUUGGCCUUUGGCUUCAACUUCGAGUUCUAUCGUCGUAUCGUCGCACACUUUCUCUUUUGCGGGUGUAGAACAGUUGGAUGAGGAUACGGAGGAAGUCUUGGAUUAGAAUACGGAUAUAUUGACAAAGGCAACUCUGUAUGAGAAACAGGAGAAUGGGAUCUGGUGCCAUCAUCCAUUAAACCUGCGCUUCUAUGAAAUCUUGAAAGUCUAUUUACAACAUGAGGUGUGGAAUGAGUUCGCACUCCUACCGGCCCACCGUAUGGUGCGACCGGAAACACGUCCAGCUGAAUCACAUACUGCUACCAUUGGCCGUUUCAAGUCAAACAGAUCGACAUGUUCAUCGUCAGUCUUUGGAUUUGGUAGAAUUCUCAGAGUGCGGACCACUCCUUGACGCCAUGAUAACACUUCUGUUGCUUCUCC